rnacentral:misc_RNA from 1 species
AACGCACGAGACCUGCGGACCUGCGGAGGGAUCAUUACUGAGUAACGUGGUCUUUUAGACCCGGUACCCGCCCUAUGUCAUAUGUUGGACGAGGUCGUCUUUAGGGGCGGCCUCCGACCCCACUUCCCGGGAAGCGUUGCGCCUCAUCAGGUCUAGGCCUUUGAUGAGGAUGGGACCGCCCGGGGUCUUUUUCAAACCCUUUGUGAGAAAUCUGAAGUCUGAAGCGAAAGCUUGAAAUAA